UGUGGGUUCUGGGUUGGGGUGA
rnacentral:miRNA from 1 species